GCCCGGUUAGCUCAAUCGGUAGAGCGUGAGACUCUUAAUCUCAAGGUUGCGGGUAAGUUUUCUGUUGAAAAAAAUUUAGUGAAAUACCUAGUGGCUAACCCUAGCAGGUUCGACCCCCGCAUUGGGCU